rnacentral:rRNA from 1 species
UACAGAGGUCUCAAGCGUUGUUUGGAUUCAUUGGGCGUAAAGGGUGCGUAGGCGGCGCGGUAAGUCGGGUGUGAAAUCUCGGAGCUUAACUCCGAAACUGCAUUCGAUACUGCCGUGCUUGAGGACUGGAGAGGAGACUGGAAUUUACGGUGUAGCGGUGAAAUGCGUAGAUAUUGGGAGGAACACCGGUGGCGAAGGCGGCCCCCUGGACCGGUACUGACGCUGAGGCGCGAAAGCGUGGGGAGCGAACAGG